CUUCUAUUUAUCUAGGAAAGUUAAGAUGUAGACAGCUUCGUGUCAAGCAAAGACCCAAAAGAAUUGCCAUUUCUUGUAAUGGUUGUCUGGCGACCGUUGAAUGCAAUUUCUCAAAUCUUUAUUGUCGCUGACUUGCUGGUACUUUUUCGAGUUAAGGUUGUAAUUGUGGAACUGAUGGCAUGAACUCACAUUCUCUUUUCGAGAGGAGGUUAAUUAAUGAAAUUAGGAAUGACAUAUACUAAGUAAUAUGAACUGAAUAAAAUCUGAACUCAGUAGGAGAGGGCAAUUGCUCUUGUAUUGUAUAUACAGUAGGUAUCGUUUAUAACUCAUUGCAGUAUUUGCAUCAGUUUGGUUCGAAUUAAUGUUGCAUCUUUACUCUGAACGGAGUGCGUACAACCAUGCAUGCAUGUAUUGUAGGUCAAAAUCACUUUGUUUGUUACUACUGUGUAUGCUAAUUUUAAUUUGUUCUAUAUAUUGGUAGAAUACAUUAUUUUCACUGACACAGUUGUGUUGAGAUGACUAUAUAGUAUCUGACUUUAUAUUAUUUCUUUCAGUCAUGGCCUUACUCGGAACAAUGAGUAAAAAGGUACUCAGCUCGCUGAGAAAAAGGAGAAUGUUUAAAGAUUUGAGUAGUUUUGUACUCGUUGUUUUGAGUAAGGCACUUCUUUUACUCACUGUGAGUAAAUAUCGCACUUUACUCACGUUUUAGGUGUCACUGGGAAUGGAUUUUGGUUUACUCAGAAACUUGAGUAAAAUUUUACUCGUUGUUUUGCGUAAAACCUGCAGUUUACUCACUGUGAGUAAAAAUCGCAUUUUACUCACGUUUUAGAUGUCACUGUGAAUGCAUUUUGUUUUACUCAGAAAUUUGAGUAAAAUUUUACUCAUUGUUUUGCGUAAAACCUGCAGUUUACUCACUGUGAGUAAAAAUCGCAUUUUACUCACGUUUUAGAUGUCACUGUGAAUGCAUUUUGUUUUACUCAGAAAUUUGAGUAAAAUUUUACUCAUUGUUUUGCG
rnacentral:lncRNA from 1 species